rnacentral:rRNA from 1 species
GAAAAAUAAAUAGCCGCAGUACCCUGACUGUGCAAAGGUAGCAUAAUCAAUUGGCUUUUAAUUAGAGUCUGGUAUGAACGAAAAUAUGGGUGGUAACUGUCUUUAGUAUACUAGUUGGAACUUUCUUAGCACGUGAAAAUACUUGCAAACUUCAAAAAGACGAGAAGACCCUAGAAACUUUAAUAAGUUUUUGUUGGGGCGACAGAAUUACAGUUAACUAAUUUUUAAAGACAUGACACUCAGUUGGAAGAAUAAGUUACUCUAGGGAUAACAGCAUAAUUUUAAUAGUUUGUGACCUCGAUGUUGGACUAGGUAUUGUACCCUUAAGGCAAGAGUAUAAGAUGCUCUGUUCGAGCAGUUUUACCUACGUGAUCUGAGUC